rnacentral:rRNA from 1 species
CAGUAGCCGCGGUAAUACGUAGGGUGCAAGCGUUAAUCGGAAUUACUGGGCGUAAAGCGUGCGCAGGCGGUUAUAUAAGACAGAUGUGAAAUCCCCGGGCUCAACCUGGGAACUGCAUUUGUGACUGUAUAGCUAGAGUACGGCAGAGGGGGAUGGAAUUCCGCGUGUAGCAGUGAAAUGCGUAGAUAUGCGGAGGAACACCGAUGGCGAAGGCAAUCCCCUGGGCCUGUACUGACGCUCAUGCACGAAAGCGUGGGGAGCAAACAGGAUUAGAUACCCCUGUAGUCCCGUCUCUUAUACA